CAUUUAAAUUAUUAUAUUUAAACAUUAUAUAUAUUUAAAAUUUAAAAUUUUGUUUUAUUUUAUUAAAUUAAUUGAAUUUACAACUAUACAAUGUCUUCAUCAAAUGAACAACUGGAAACAGUUCAAUUAAAAUUUGGUUCUAUUCAAGAGUUUAAUGAUUGGAAAGAGAAGGAAGAAUUAGCCACUUUGACACGCUAUGUCUAACAUAGAGGGUCAAAAACUAACAUGGACAAAACAGUUACAACAAAGUAUUAUUGCCUUCGAUCUGGAGUAUUUAAAUCUAAAAGCAAAGGAGAACGUUCAUUAAAGAUAACUGGAUCUUGUAAAAUUGAUCAAUGCUGCCCUUCUUUUAUAAGAACUGUUGUUGGAAUGAUUAAUAUUGAAACAACAUAUUGUAACUCAUCUUGGGCACCAAAACGAAAUAAGAUUUCUUCCCAUCCCGACUGUUGUUCAAGAAACAAUUGCUGGUAAUUGGUAUACUUAUAUUUAUAUUUGAUACAUUGAAUUAGUUUGGAAAAACAGUUAAGUAUGUGAAUUGGUUUGGUUAAAUAUAUUGUUAAUGUUUGUUAUAUAUAAUGUUAUACAAUUGUUUAUAUAUGUAUUAGGAUAUUACUCCAAUUAAUUCAGUUAAAGUGAAUCUUGUAAAAUUGAAAGUGGAAUCCCGCCAAAUGUCAUAAUUGAUCAGUUCCGCAAUGAAACUAAUAAAUUAUGAUAUCGAAAAAAAAAAUAUAAUAACAAGGAAGGACAUAUAUAAUAUUUCUGCUAAGUUUGGUUUACUCCACAAAUACAAGCUAAUUCAUUAGAAUUAGAUAAUUUAAUCAAACAAAAUGUGCUCGUGUAAGGUGAUUUGUAUUGUGUGCAAAUGUUGUGUUCAUUUGUUUUCAUGCACAUGUUAUGACUACUGUAUUAAAAACAACAUGUGUAAGCAUAUACAUGCCGUUCGAAUGAAUUCAAUGGUGAAUAAUGAAGAUGUUAGUAUGAAUAGUAUGGAUGUAAUAUGCAAUCCCAUAGCAAAUGAUGAAGUGUGUAUGAAAAUGCCUGCUGCACAACAGCUUAAUGUACCAUCCACUGAAUCCAUUGCUAAUAAAAUUCAGCAAUUAUAUAAUAUGUUUGUGUGACAAGCAGGUACACUUGAUGAACAACAACUCCAAAGAAUAAACUUGACUGUCGAUUCAAGUUUAAAAGUUCUGUAUCAACAUGAGAGUAAGUGUAUAAAUAAUGUAGAGUAUCGAGAACCAGCCAACAAAAAUAUUGACAAACAGCUACGGUUUUAUUCGACCAAAAAACCAAGGACAAAAGCACCGGAAGAACAACGACUAAAUAGGCCAACAAUUAAAGUUAUAAAACAAAUAAAGAGUGAUUUAAAAGGUAACGAAGAUACCUCAUAUGUUAAUAUUGACCCACAUUUUGAGCAUUCAUAUGGACAAUUUGAGCAGAAGAAGAAAUGAUAUUAUUGUAUUUUAUAUAUUUAUUUAUUUUUAACAAACAAAUUCAUUAGACACUUGGAUUUUUUCUAAUACAUAAUUUUUUAAACUUGGAACUUAUAUCAUUGAUUAUAAUUUUAUUAUUUAAAUUUUUAAAUUUUUAUUUAUAUUUAUUUUAUUUUAUACUUAUGUGUUGUGUUGCAGGCUACAAAAUAUCGGUAUAAGUUAAUAUAAUAGAAUACAUUUAUUUUAUAUUUGAAAUAUAACUUUGAAUAAUAUUAGAUAUGAAUUUUUUAAAUCCUUACCUUGAAUAGAACCUUAUAUUAUCUAUGGUCUCUAGACGCUCGUGUGACAAGUCGUGAAUAUUAUCAGAUUAUAAUUUAUAGAUACACCACAGAUUAUAUUUUCAUAUAAUCUGUGUAACUACUAAGGUUAAAUAAUGUGCUCGGUGGACACAAUUUUGCAAAAGAGCUCAAACCUUAACAAAUUGCUUAAUAU